GAUGAACGCUGGCGGCGUGCCUAAUACAUGCAAGUCGAGCGAACUGACGAGAAGCUUGCUUCUCUGAUGUUAGCGUCGGACGGGUGAGUAACACGUGGAUAACCUACCUAUAAGACUGGGAUAACUUCGGGAAACCGGAGCUAAUACCGGAUGAUAUUUUGAACCGCAUGGUUCAAAAGUGAAAGACGGUCCUGCUGUCACUUAUAGAUGGAUCCGCGCUGCAUUAGCUAGUUGGUAAGGUAACGGCUUACCAAGGCAACGAUGCAUAGCCGACCUGAGAGGGUGAUCGGCCACACUGGAACUGAGACACGGUCCAGACUCCUACGGGAGGCAGCAGUAGGGAAUCUUCCGCAAUGGGCGAAAGCCUGACGGAGCAACGCCGCGUGAGUGAUGAAGGUCUUCGGAUCGUAAAACUCUGUUAUUAGGGAAGAACAUAUGUGUAAGUAACUGUGCACAUCUUGACGGUACCUAAUCAGAAAGCCACGGCUAACUACGUG
rnacentral:rRNA from 1 species